CACCUGGAUAUUGAGGGAGGAGAUGUGGCGCUCCAGGUUCUGCUUAGCCUCCAUCUCCUCAUCCAGUUGGUCCUGCAGGCUGUUCCUUUCAUCCUCCAGCUGGCGCAGCUUGGUGGACACGUUUAGCUUCUGCCGGGUUUCUUCCUGAAGCAGCUCCUGUGAAGAGCAAACACAGAGGAAGGUCGCACCCAGAGGAAAAUCGCACCCAGGUCCCCUGGCUGAUGUGGCACCCUACCCACCUGGGUGUCCUGGAGCUGGGACCCAAGGGACGCCACAUCCUUGGCCAGUUUGAUGGCCUUGCCCUCCGCCUCGUUGAGCACGCCUGUGACGCUCUCCACUUCGUUCUGAGGGUGCCAACACAUCGGUCAGCCACGACGUCUAGAACAGGGUCCUCGUUAGGCAAGGGGAGGCCUUUUUUACUAAAAAUGCAUCACGUGCCUCAUGGGAUAGGACCUGUGAGGUCCAGGAACUGAGAAAAUGCCCCUGUGGUGUAGGGAAUUCUGUGGCCCUUAGGGAAACCCAUCAUCUACCAGCUGGGUUUCCUGGCCCAAGAACCUGUUAAGAGCCCCAAACUAUUGACUGGACCCUGAUUCCACGAACUGGAGUCUGGAUGCCUGCCAAGGCUAACAAAGAUGAAGCAAGCCUGAAAGUCCACGUGCUGAGAGAGCCUCUGCCUUCCGCUCCCACCACUGAUGUCUCCAGGCAGGCUCUCUGGAGAUGUCAUCCUGCUGCCCUUCUCCUCCAUUUACAUCGAGGAUGUAAGGGACCUUGACUGCUCUUCUGGGACAGAACUUGUCACAGGGGAACAAAAUCCCUACCCUCAACUGCAUGCAAGGGAAAAAGUCACAGUGUUCCCCCCUGCCCCAAGCUCCAAGCUGUAAGCACAUUAAAUACUGAUCAAACUUCUGACCAUUUCCCACUAAUAAAAAUUAAGGCCCAAUGUGUCUUUCAAGCUAAAGACCAAAGAUGAACACAUUAUGUUGUCAGUUUAGAUGGCUUCAGAGCAAAGCCAGGCAAACAUCUAACGGGGCCUCAAAGGCCCUGCAGUACCUGGCCAGUCUACCUCUCCAGUCCCACUCUGUACAUCUCUCAGCACCCCAGCUCUCCUGGCUUCCUUGACUCCUGAUUUUCCCAUUUACCACUGGGCCUUUGCACACGCUGACCCCUCUGCCUGGGCGACUCACUGUCCAAUUUUAGUCCUCCCGAGGGAAGCCUUUUCUGAACCCUCUCCCGAUCCGGGCCUCCUUGUUAUUUACAGGUACAGCAUAACCUGCCUCCCCUUGCAGUGUCAUUUGAUGUCCAUGUGUGAGAAUCAACAGAAUGCUUAAGACUAGUGUUCAGAGCCCACAUGACAAGUAAUAAGAGGACCUGAGGACCCUGAGCAAGCGUCCAUUUAUUCAUGUGGAGGUGAGGGUGAGCUCGGUCUUGGACAACACUUCUCCAAGGGUGGUCCGAGACCGCUUCCCAUCGGGGUGGAGGCCUGGAAAUUGCACUUGAACAAGGGCCACAGGUUGAUGAUCUCAGUUGUGAUAGUGACGGAAAGCAGACCACUGAGUGCCUGACAGAGUCUAGCUUUGGGGGCCGGGAGGCUCAACCUGCCAUUGUUCGAAGCCUCUGACACACUGCUCUCGCAUGUGCUGUCACGACCAGCAUCACAACGCACCCUCUUGAACUGCUCCAGCUGCUCCGUGAGCUCCUCCACCGCCUGCGUGUGUUUCUGCCUCAUCUCCUGGACCUGGGCCUCGUGGGAUCGUGUCUCCUCAUCCAGCGCCUUCUUCAGCACGGUUACCUCCUGCUCCCUCUUGGCCCUUGGCAAGAAGAACAAAGUGGAUGUCACUCAGCAACAGAGCUUCUCCUCUGAUGUCUCCAUGCAAAAGGACAAGUGCUCUCCCAGGACCCACAGGUGAGCCAGGACCCCGGUGCGGAAGAAGAUUUUGCUCUGUCCAAUCCUGUACAAGUUGGGGUCGAGUUCCAAGGCUUUGAUCUGCAGAGGAAAGAGGGGAGAGAAGAGUUCCCAUUUGCAACUGGGCCACCUGGCGAACGGGGACACAUGUCCAGGAACAGUCCCGCCCAGAGCAGCGAGUGUCAGGGUGACCUAAGGCCAAGAAGUGGGAGCCGGAUUUCUGGGGAGAGACUUGGGCUGGGCUCACCAUGAGGAUGCAGGCCUGCUUCCCAUCCAUGAAGCCUUUGGGAAUGGCAUUCGCGGCCAGGAUCUCGUAGCUUCAAACACAAGGCGGAAGUCACCAAGCACGGCCCCACCACCCUUCCCACCCGGCCCGUCACCCGCUGCCCCAGUGGGCUCACCGCUGGCGGAACUCUUGGAAGACAAUCCUGUUGGGGAAGCCCUGGCGGCAGAUGCGGAUGCCCUCCAGCACGCCAUUGCACCGCAACUGCUCCAGCACCAAGAAGGCAUCCAGCUUGCCAGACUGCAGUGGCAGAAGAGGACGGUGACCGCUGGGCUGGGGCCCGGGGACAGCAAGCCCCAGGCCCACCUUGCCAGGCCACGGCCUUCUCAGAGGCACCAGGCUUGGCUUGGCUUGGCUUGGCUUGGCUUGGCCCGUGAUCUCCCUUGUACUUGGUGGCACUAGUAUCCCCUGGCUAGGAACUGUAGCUUCUCCCUCAGCACCCUGUCCAUCACCCAUUCCAUACCUCCUACCUCCCAGAUCUCUCCUACUCUGCCCGGAUUUCCAUUGCCACCGCUUCUACCAUUGACAGACCCCCAUCUGCCACCCAGACCACCAUAGCAGCUUUGUACCCAGUCUUCUCCCUCCUGUCCUGCCUCCUCCUCUGGCCCCUCAUCCCAUCUAAAAUACAAACCUGAUCACGA